rnacentral:rRNA from 1 species
GACGAACGCUGGCGGCGUGCCUAACACAUGCAAGUCGAACGACUGGCGAAUGGGUGAGUAACCCGUGGGUGCCCAGUCUUGCACUUCGGGAUAAGCUUGGGAUAGUGGGUCUAACACCGGCUAGUGAACGAUGAGCUCGCGGCCUAUCAGCUUGUUGGGGGGGUAAUGGCUACCAAGGCGCGACGGGUAGCCGGCCUGGGCGGGAGUACGGCCACAUUGGGAAUGGGGUACGGCCCAGACUCCUACGGGAGGCAGCAGGGGGGAAUAUUGCGAAAUGGGCGGAAGCCUGAUGCAGCGACGCCGCGUGAGUGGUGACGGCCUUCGGGUUGUAAAGCUCUGUUAAUCGGGACGCGGUACCGGAAUAGAAAGCCACGGCUAACUACGUGCCAGCAGCCGCGGUAAUUC